ensembl:snoRNA
GCAUAGGUUUGGAUUUAUGGCAGGCCGGUCCCCUUGGGUCUCUCAUAGUGUCCCAUGCCAGAGCAAACUGUGGCCCCCAAACCAUUUCCUGGCCUCUGCCUGUAGGCUGCUGGCACUGAAGAGGGUUGCACAGUG